rnacentral:misc_RNA from 1 species
UACGUAGGUGGCAAGCGUUGCUCGGAAUCACUGGGCGUAAAGCGCACGUAGGCGGAUCUUUAAGUCGGGGGUGAAAUCCCGGAGCUCAACUCCGGAACUGCCUUCGAUACUGGGGAUCUUGAGUCCGGGAGAGGUGAGUGGAACUGCGAGUGUAGAGGUGAAAUUCGUAGAUACUCGCAAGAACACCAGUGGCGAAGGCGGCUCACUGGCCCGGUACUGACGCUGAGGUGCGAAAGCGUGGGGAGCAAACAGG